CUACGGCCACAUCAGGUUGAAACAGCGGUUCUCGUACGAUCAGUGAAAUUAAGCAACGUCGCACCUGGCCAGUACCUCGAUCGGUGACCACUUAGGAAUACCAGAUGUUGUAAG